UAUAAAAAAUCAAUUUGAUUAUGAAGAGAACUUUUGAACUUGGAGUUACUGAAAAUUAUUUACCAUCAGAGGAAUAUGUACUGGUCCUAAGAACAAUGAUAAAAGCCACAGUCCCUACUCUGGCAGCUGCUGGGCUGGUGGCAGAAGUUGUCUCAUCUGCUUUUCCCCACCAUUCUGGGAGCACUAGUAGCUUUGACUAUACACAGCUAUCAGAAGAGGGAGAGUUCAGCCUAGACCAGGGGUUGGUCCACAAACCUUUAUGGCAAAGGGCCGAACAGUAAAUAUUUCAGGUUUUGUGGGCCCCAUAGUCUCCACUGCAAGUACUCCACUGUGCUAUGGUCACACAAAAGCAGUCAUAGACAAUAUGUGAAGGAAUGAGUAUGACUAUGUUCCAAUAAAAGUUUACAGGCGCAGAAAUUUGAAUUUUAUAUAAUUUUCAUGUGUCCCAAACUAUUAUUCUUCUUUUCAGCCAUUUAAAAACGUAAAAACCAUCCUUGCAUUGUGAGCUGUAUCAAAUCAGAGGAUGAGAACAUGGACGCAGGUUUGGGGUCCCUGCUUCCUACCCUAGCUGAGUGCUGGGGGAACAGGCUGUAGAAUAGAUGCCUCAGGUCAACAUGGGGGGCUCCCAGGGUGGAAAGACUAGGGUCUCCCUUCCCAAGGUGAGUUCUGGAGUGACUGUGAGCCCUAGUGAAGCUUCAUGUCCCCCAUGGUACCAGAGCAGCAGAGCAACGGUGGCCAAGGGGCCUGGACAGAAUACCCUGGAGCCAGCUUUGUGACAGGCCCCUACAAAUGAUAAGGACAAAGAGUCAAAGUUCCUGAGCCUCCAUUUCAAAGGAGAGAAGAAGAUGAUGAUGGCUGGCCAGCAAAUUCAGAGAAGACUGGGUUGGAAGGCGAGAUCUGCCUGGACUCUACAACCAGAGGCCAUUACAAGAUGGGGUCCCCUUGGCCAAUACAGCAGGGGAAGCAGCUGAUGCCCAAAGACUGCAUGGUUUGGAGGAGGCUCUCCUCAGAGGAGAAGUGGCCUGCCUCCACUCCUCUGGGUUCUCUAGAGCUGGUCCUCUUCUCCCUGAAGGCUGUCACAGUUCCUGUGCAGAGAGAGAGGGCACUGCAGCACCCAGGCGCUGACUGCCUUUUGUCAGUCUCAUUUGCAGGCCCCCAGCUGGAGAACCCAGGAGGAAGAGGAAAAAAGUUUUUUCCUCCUCUACACUCCCCAUGCAUGACUAAAGAGUAGGAGGAGUCAGCAAGGCAGACAUAUAUAGUACCCAGGAGGUGGACAAACAACUGCCUUGGUGGAAACUCUGUCCUUUCUGGGCUUAUCCUGGUGCCACUGAGACUGUGCAGCAAACCAUGUAUCUGGCUCCCCUCCCACCUUCUCACCUUGGAACACCACCGGCUGUAGGCAUCUACAUGCAGCAGGAAGCAUCACUGAGUAAGUUCGACUACACAUCAAGGGUAGACACCGCACUGUCCAUCCAGCCUGCUCUGAACUGGCCCUGGGAAGGCAUGUCUGGAGAAGCUAUGUUGGAAGGAUUAGAAUAAUAUACAUCUCCACACUUACCCACUCUGCAUGGGCUGCCUGA